UACCUUCUCCUGGGUUCUUCCCCCACUCCCAUCCCGGCUCGCCCGACAGGUUGCGCCUACUUUUCCCGUGGAGCGAGAGAAGCCUUCUUCCAGAGCCUGUGGGGUCGGUCUCCUUGACCCCUCCUGCUCCCUCCCCGGACCCCUUCCAGCCAUCGCCACCAUCCACCACCUCGGUUCCACUCAAUCGAUUUUUGCUGCAUGUCAACACAUUACUGCAACUUAGAAAAUGACUCGUGAGGCUGGGACCUUAAGUACCGAGAUUAAGGCAUGCGGUGGUUUCCUGAGAGCCCCAAGACUCGCCGUAUCAAAGCUUCCUCCUUCCAGAAGUAGCAAAGCUUCUGUCCCUCUGCCAGCAGUUUGCCUCAGCGGGGAACCCCCUGACUCGAAGUUCAGGGUAGGAACCUUUUCCCUCGUCGCUCUGGAAUACGAAACCUAGAACUGUCCCCUCUGUCUUUGGAAGUGGUGGAGCACCACAUCAGAUUGUGAUUUGGAACUCAGACUAGUGUAGUCCAGCAAUUCUGCUUCUCUGGGUAGGUAGUAGGGUGGGGUUGCUGCACCCUACAGUAGUUUAAUGGCAUUUCCCUCUGCCGUACGGAAGGACUAGCCGGGCCUUUUGGGGCAUCACUUCACGCAAUUCCCUCCAUUUGGUUGACCGCCAGUCUAGCUGACUUGACAGCUUCACCCCGCUGUGUGCGGGCGUGAGGGAGGGGGAGGGGAGACUGUGGACAGUGGUGGAGACCCUGCAGGCCAUCCUCGGUGCUAAGGAAGGGGCUUUGCCUGCUAGUGCCCUAGGCUACAGACUACAGAUCACUUUGUUUGAAAAAUAAAAUAAUAUCCAACAAAAGAAA